AGCGAACGCUGGCGGCAGGCUUAACACAUGCAAGUCGAGCGCCCCGCAAGGGGAGCGGCAGACGGGUGAGUAACGCGUGGGAAUCUACCGUACCCUACGGAAUAACGCAUGGAAACGUGUGCUAAUACCGUAUACGCCCUACGGGGGAAAGAUUUAUCGGGGUAUGAUGAGCCCGCGUUGGAUUAGCUAGUUGGUGGGGUAAAGGCCUACCAAGGCGACGAUCCAUAGCUGGUCUGAGAGGAUGAUCAGCCACAUUGGGACUGAGACACGGCCCAAACUCCUACGGGAGGCAGCAGUGGGGAAUAUUGGACAAUGGGCGCAAGCCUGAUCCAGCCAUGCCGCGUGAGUGAUGAAGGUCUUAGGAUUGUAAAGCUCUUUCACCGGAGAAGAUAAUGACGGUAUCCGGAGAAGAAGCCCCGGCUAACUUCGUGCCAGCAGCCGCGGUAACAC
rnacentral:rRNA from 1 species